AUGAACGCACUAGAAAGCACAAUGCCAAGUUCUUGGCGAGAGCUCUGUCCUAUCGAAUGUCUCAAGUCGCACGUCACCGAGAUGAUCUUCCAUGAAUUCCGGGGGGAUCGAAGCGAGAUGGAGUUCCUCAAGUUUCUCGACAGGAGCGCGAACGAGACGUGGUAUUUGCUCGUCAGGACUACUGCAGAAAUAUUCGCUUCGCCGGAUGAGAUGGAUGAGCUGAUGACUAAAAUGGAAGAUUUUACGCACCGAGGUUGGGUCUGCGAUCACUCCAUAGUGGUGGUGGGGGAGCCUCUGGAGGAGAACCUCUGGAGUUUCAGCAAAGCGUCGGAUCUCUCUGCUGACAACCCUUUCCAGUGUUCGUCCUAG
rnacentral:rRNA from 1 species